GCAGUUCAAUAGAACAGUAAUUUUGAAAAGCAGUUGAUAUUUUCAAUAGUAAAAUAAGUGACAUCAACAGCCUGACAUUAUCUUGGUAAUAUUGUUGCAUGUGGUGUGUAUAUACGCGUACCUAUUAGAUGACAAAAAAGACCAUUUUAUGACUACAUUUGGAUGUCUGUACAUUGUGAGAGAAUCUUACUGGCAACGAAUGUUGAUGGUCGUUAUUCAAUAAGCCCCUAUAUCAGGUCUAAUUUAACAAAAGACUCAUUGAUUAAUUCUCUCCAUCAUUCCCAAGCAGCAGCUCCAUGACUGGGAAAUGUUUAAACCACAAAUCUAUGCUAUAUUGAAAGUUUCACUUGAAAGAAUGAUAUUUGUAUUUUUAAAUAAUUUACUUUCUUCUCAGGACCUGUAUAAAAAGAAAGCUUUCCUGGAGCUUUAAAAUAGGAAUGUUGUUCAUACUUGGUUCUGGGGAAAACCUAUUCUUCUAUCAUUUUCAGGGAGGUUAUUGUGGUGAUGUUUUUCCAAAAACAGACUUUGUUGAAGUCCCGCAAUCCACUCCUACCAAGACUCAACACAUAGCAGAUAAGGAACCAUCGCAAUCGCUCGGGCCUAGUCUCUCCUCUUUCUUGACACCACGCACCAAUGCACUGAGACGUACCUUGCACUCCCUCCUACAUUGGCACAAUCGGAAGGAAGCUCAGCAGUGCUGAUACCUUUUCUGAGCAACUGAAUAGUAACUAAUCACCUCCAACAUUACUGGACUGACACUCAUUAUAUUGUAUUUGUGUGUAUAAGGGCCGGACUGCCAUCGCAUCAACCACAACAUUUACUGUCCCGCGUACAACCACUGAAGACAUACCAGUAGAAUGGCUUGUCUCUAGUAGUAAGUAGUAUUCUUUCUCUACAAACUCAAUGUGAAGAUGCAGUGGAAGACACAGUGAGCAUUGAUAUAAGCAUGAGCUUCGGGAAGAUGUUUCAGGAUCCCUUAGACUUCAGUUUUUCACUACCCAGCACCACAAUCUGUCUCUGGAUCCAACAGAGUAACUCCAGGAGGAUGGGCUGAAAAGAAGUGACUGGUGAAUCAUUCAAAGCUCAUGGAACUUUCACCACAUGUGACUGUUACAUUGAUGUUAAAACAAUUACAACAAAUUCCAGCCAAAUUAAAAUGAACUGGACCUGCCUAAUGGACACUCAGGACAGUGGGCAUCAUGUCCUGAUCGAAGGGGGGGUGGCUGAUAACAAUCUUCUCUGAACAUAGCGGAUUGGACUGUCUACAACAGUGUGUAGAAGAAACUUGUGGCUGCAUUAAAAAAGAAAGACAACAAAGCUCUCCAACCAUGGCUGAAGUCAAUCUCCAACCAUUUGUAUUGGUCUUGCGUUGGUAGGCGUUGCUACAGCAUGAUAUUUGUGGCGUGCAUAGAUGGGAGGAGAAUGGGGUUACAGCUGUCAUCACCCAGCCUUGACAGAGGAGCAGCAGAGAAGAAAGAAGGGGGUCAAAGCAAUAAUAAUCUCCUUCAAGACUUGAAGCAGAUAAGCUUCAUGCACACUUGAUUUCUGGAGGUGUACCACUCUUCUAUGCUGAAGUAUGCUCAGAAGAGGCUGCACUUCAGAUAUGACUCCAUGAGGGUCCGUACCCAGCUGACGAUCAUGGAUCAAAACGCCAAUGUUGGCAGACUAGAUCUAGCACAGUGUAAACUGUGAUGCUGUUUUUGUUCAAUAGUCUGUGGAGAUCUCAGAAAUAUGUGUUAUGAGAUAUUGAGUAGCAUUAGGGAAGUUGAGAAAUGUUGAAAUCCAUGAAACCUCUAAUAAAUAUUGUGAAGUACCUGUAAUAUCAGGAAGG